GCAUUUAAAGUGACAUCACCAUGCCAAUCCCAACUCACUGGAACCAGGGGAAAACAUCGGCUAGACCUGAUUAAAUGCAAUGGAGGAACAAGACAAGAAGGAUACUCUGAAAGUUUGUCACAGGCGAACCUGAUGCCAUCAGAAGAAGCAGAAAGACUUCCUAAAAGAAAUGAUGGCUUAACUGAGACCCAGACAAUGAGAGACUGAGGAGGAAGCCCCUAGAGCAGAGGAGUAGCAGGUGCCAAGUCCCUGGGGUAGGCAGCAA
rnacentral:lncRNA from 1 species